rnacentral:misc_RNA from 1 species
UAUACAGUAAAAGCGGCAUUGGUAAAUAUAACUGGGAUCAGUUCUUUGACUUCUUUCGUCGUGAGUAUAGUAUCGAACACGUGUGUUGUGCUAUUGCCUUGGUCCACAUGCAAGACGAGGCAGAAAGAAGUACAACUCAGCAUCAUGGGUGGCCCCUCAAAUAAAAUCAACAAACCCAAAGUAAAAACCAGGUUUCCGGAUAAUCCAGAGACAAAAACGAAACCAGGUCAAAGCCAACCCGCCCACGAGCAAGAAGACUUUCUCAGGAGGCAUGUCCAAAUGGCGACCGUCGAAAGGCGUCACUAAGAAAAGAAAGAUCAACGUCAGUACCAACUCUAGCCCGUCAGGAAAGAAGCUCAGGAAACUACUGAGAGCGAGGCUGAGAAGUGAAAAGGAGGCUAGUGCCAUGCAAGUUGAACUGACGUCAUUGCCACGAAAACAAAGCAACAAGAGUGACAAAUCAAAGGCCAAGAACCCUUCAACGCAAGCAAAAGACAAUAAAGGCGAGGGAGACAUAGAAAUGCAAGAAGUCUGAUGGGAUUAUGAAAUGACCGAUUAGAUCGCAUUCACAGCUGUUUCCGCAAUUUGUGAACAAAAUAAAAUUCACGACCAAAAAGCAAAAACUAACAAAGAUCUCGCGCAAAGAAUGAUGCGCAACCUCUCCUCUGCUAUUCUCACCGGAAAAAUUAUUCGCAGAGAGAUGUCUAUCACGAAGCUAUUAACGAGACGAAUGUUGGAUGAUGAAAGUUAAACUUGUGGGAAUAGGCUACAGAUUGACCGACUUGAAGAAACCCGUAUGAAGAGAGUCAGUCUGUGUUAAGUUUUAGAGGUGGAAGGAAGAGCCUAGAACGACAUUCCAGGGAAUGAUCCAUGCAUGGACGCGGGGACUCACCAUGAAUUCACGAAACCUUGAUGGAUCACAAAGAUAUUAGAACCUAAGCAGGAACAUGACUUCAAGAUCAAAAUCAAGUUUCAAAUAAUGAAUGAUAAAAAAAUGAGACGACAAAUUCUUUCUCCUAUAGACUAAUCCAAUUAGACGCCCCAACUGCACGGUGG